GUGUGAAGAGGACCUUUUGGAGUUGAUUGCCUUGUGUACUAAAACAACUCACUUUCUACUCCAGCUGUCUGGUCAAUCCAGUCUCUAUUACCAAGAAGAUAUCUCAAAAAAUGUCCUUUGGCUGUUCUGUGAACAAGGAGAAGAGGAGAAUUGUUCAUAUGCAGAAAGCAUCAUUGGCAUAAUGUACGGUGGAAAUUUCAGUGCCAAGUGAAAUGAAUUCCCUAGAUUGCAGCACACUGAUAAUUUUGAUAUGAACACUGGGAGACCCCAGGUUCUAUCUGGAGGGGUACCCCUUGUCACCCACAAGCCAGCCCUGGAGAUGAUGCAGUGAUGGAGGAAACAUUUGAGGAUCCUGGGGGUCAUGCUAAACGUAAGCAACAUGACAGCUGCCUGGAUACUGGGCACACACCUGCAGGAAUUGUUGCCUGUGGUUCCAAAGGAGCUGGACAUUGAGUGAGUGUAAUCUCUUCGUGUUCAGGAGUCUGGCUGGAUGAUGCCAGGGAGUUUCAUUGCCACAUGGGAACACUCAGUAACCCCUUGAACCUGAGGGAAUUAGCAAUAGCUGCAAACCCCUCUGCUCAGGCAGCUUGGCUCUCUGGCUCCAUGGUGAACUGAACGAACUGAAUUGCUCUCCUGUAAAGGCAUCAGUGAACUCAUGAUUGCACCUUUGGGCUGCCAGUUGGGAAAUGCCACACACGUCCCUGGUGCAGGUUUGAAAGAGGCUGGUGAGGAAGUUUAAUGCACCUCUCACCUUCAUCACCACUGACACUAUGUUGCCUCCCAAAUUACAUAACUGCCUGCAGGGGGUGGCAGAUGUAGGUGAUACAUUUGGGUAAGUACAUGAAUGGGAAAGGUUUGGAAGCAUAUGGGUGAGGAGCAGGAAGUUGGGACUGGUUUAGUUUGGAAUUAUAUUCGACAUGGACUUGUUGGAUGAAAGGGUCUGUUUCCAUACUGUAUGACUCUAUGACUCUUUAUGAAGACAUCUCCAGCACUGCCUUUCACUCAUCAGCUCUGUGUAUUUCUCAUUUCUCAGUACACUGCAUGACAGCAUUGAAUACCCUGGUUCCAUUCAUCACCCACUGCAUGUUCAUUCACCACUGCCGCCAGCUGAGCCUAUGUCUCUGGUUCUGUUGGCAGUGAGCAUUCUUUCUUCUCCUUGACCUCCCCUUUGUAACCUCAGCAAUGCUAGCUCGGUUAAGUUAGGAACCAUCUAGUGCUGAUUUGUGAAGAGAUACCAGGAAUGAGAUGCUGGUUAUCCAGCUGAGAUCUUGAACUAGUCAAGCUACCCUUUGGCACCUUUUCAGGCUCCGCAUGUGUUGGAUGAAAUCCUGUCCUGCAGCCUCCUCUUCAUUUUAAGGCACAUCUUCCAUGACUCAUGACUGUUUUACCUCUUCCUCACUCUACCAUGUGUAAGAUCUUGGUGAAUCUUGAUGGUUUUCAUUAUCUCCAGUGGUACAGCUCUACAACCUUGGAAUUUACAGCCUGUAUAACACUUCCAUCCCCAAAGGUCUGUGAAUGCUCUUGCACAAACACAGAUGGAAUAAGCCCCCACCACUAGCACCAUUACAAACAUGACCACUAGUAGUGGACUUUGGGAUCCUUUUAUUCUAGAGUUAAACAAAACACGGUCACGGUUGGAUGUUGUGUUAGGAGAUGAUAAAACUUGACUGUCUUUAUUCUGCAGUACAUGCUUCCCUUCAGUGCUAAGCCUUGAACUGAGUGCUCAUAAGGUAGUAUUUUUCAGUUUCUAUGUUGCUUCCUUUAGAUGGGUGUGUUUGCAAACAGAUCAUGGUCUUCUCCCUUUCUCUGUGAAGUCUUCUUUUGUAAGUUGAUUAGCAAGAGUAACAGUGUCUCCAAACUUUUCACUUGAUUUGUUCACCCUCUAACCUCCUGGUCCAUAAUCUGCUUUUCUACGCAUCAUUGUAAAUAGCCUUGUCCGUUCCACUUGAGUCUCAACUGUCCUUCUUCAAUCUCUUUCUGUGACUAUCAGCCCUUUCCCUAUCUCCCUUGAUAUACAUCCUUUUUACCCCGAUCCUAGUCCUACACAGAUCCCUUUGCCUAGCUUUAGCCUUAUACCAUUCCUUUUUCAUGUAAAGACAGUUAAGAGGCACCUAGAUGGGUACAUGAAUAGGGAGGGAAUAGAGGGAUAUGGAUCGAAAAAUGGCAGGUUUGUUUUUAGAUUAAUUAGGGCAUGAUGGUCGGCACGGGCUUGGAGGGCCAAAGGGCCUGUUGAUGUGCUGUAAUUUUUCAUCUGUUCAUUUGUACCCACUUAACUAAUCCAUUGCGUUCCCAGGCUUAGAUCUUCUGCUCCCACAUUUCCUUGACGCCCUUGCCGCUAUCUCCCCUCUGCCUCAAUUUCCUCCCUAUAUUCCCCAAGGUACAUCCAGUGCCCAUGACAACCACACUCUUUAAGUUCCAUUCCCUACCAUUACUUUCUACCAAAUUCACCUUUGUUUGAACCUUUUGAGCUGGUUGCCUUGUUAAUGAAGUUGUAUUUGCCUGGCCUGGGCAGGCUGCUGAUGUUAGCCAGUGUGACUGCCUCACAUGGGCUGGUUUAUAGAUCCAGUGAGGUGCCACCUUUACAUUGUAUGUGCUUAAGAACUACAAACAAGAAUGCUUAUGACUGUGACUUCUCACGAGUUGCUUGACCCCGUCAGGCUUAUACUGUAAGAGUUUGUGUAAAGAAAGAGUUUAGUUAUGAUGGAGCCAAGGUGUUGAAGAAGUUUGUACUCACUGCAGCUAUGAGGAAGAAGUAUAACCUGCCUGCUACACUUCUAGUGUGUAUAGUCCAAUUGUGAGAUUAUGCAGUUCCUGUUCUUGUCUAACAAGGAAUGCAUCUGUGAGUGUACUGCUAUUUGGCUGGGGUGUCUGUAGAACGCUAAUGAAUGUAACAGAGAUAAGGUUGAGAAAGAAGGAUAUAAGGAAUCUAAAAGCUGCACAUGGGCCCAGAAAGUUCCACCCAAUAUGAUUUACAGGAGCAUAAUCAGAUAAAAAUUGACACCAAGCCAAAUUAGAAAAAGUAACAAAUGCUGGUUCUAAGGUGGUAGCUUUUGAGGAGAGUUGUAAAUGAAAAGAGAGAGUUGGGGAGACAGCAAAGAUUAGGAAGGUAAUUCUGGAGCCAAGGUCCCAUGAGGUCCUCCAGCUGAAGAUAUAGCUAACAAUUGUGAGACAAAGGAGGUGAAGGUGCACACAAGAUCAGAAUUGCAGAGUUUUCAGAAAAUGACAGGGAAGGUCACAGCAAAACUGUGGAAGCAUUUCAACAUGAGAAUGAAAAUUUUAUAAUGAGACAUUGCUGAAUGGAAAACAGAUAUCUAUUAGAGAGCACAGGGCUGAUGGUGAAUGGAUUUGGAAUGUGUUGUGAUACAGGCAGCAGGGAUUUGGACGAGUUUAAGUUUAUCGAGAUUCAGAAGCAAUUCAUCUCUUCUAUGAUUAGAUUUUUCUGGCAACAUGCUUGAAGCCUUUGGGAGACUCAAUAUGGAUCCACAUCUGCCCUCAACAUUUGCCAAUGUGUCUAACUAACAUGACUACCUUAGGACAGAAUGCUCCAGCUUGACAGUAUUUGACCAUUCAAAAUGUAAAUUUCUCUCAAAAUUGUAUAAUAUUUUCUAAAUAAAUACAUCAACUAAUACUGUA